GCCAUCCAUCCGUCGUCCAUCGACCGCCUCUUGCUUCCCUUCGUCUUCCUUUGCCUUUUCGGCUGCUCUCUCUCUCUCUCUCUCUCUCUCUCUCUCUCUCUCGGGUAUGGGCGUUAGCAGCUGGAAAAGGAAGAGGCCGAGCAGGCAGGCAGAAAAAGCGGUGAAAGAUAGGAUAGGAGGUGAAGCGCUGGCUCAAAUUGGGACCGAUAUUUUGUGUUCUGCCGACUUGGGUCGCAAGGUAUUUCCUCACGUCGGCGGCGGCGGCCCUUCAGCUCAACAUGGGGUGAAGCGCUUGAUUCCUUCAGAGAUGUAACUGAAUUCUGUACUGCAGAUCGUUGCUCUCAUCAAAAGCUUGUACCCAGGGAGAUUGGCUAGCAUUAGCAUGACAUGGUUUUAUUUUAUUCCCUGCUCUAUCUGAUACUAUGCGUUCAGCUUAUUGUAUUGAUGAUCCGGCAGGUUUAUUUUUUAUGUUGCCAUGAUUGAUAGGGCAGAUGAACGACUAGUAUACUCUGAACGCACGAUCAUGAACACUAUCCUCCUUUUCCUCUCCUUCUGUAACUAAAAACGAUCUGAACAUCAUUAUUGAGC
rnacentral:lncRNA from 1 species